rnacentral:rRNA from 1 species
UACGUAGGUGGCAAGCGUUGUCCGGAUUUAUUGGGCGUAAAGCGCGCGCAGGCGGUCCUUUAAGUCUGAUGUGAAAUCUUGCGGCUUAACCGCAAGCGGUCAUUGGAAACUGGGGGACUUGAGUACAGAAGAGGAAAGUGGAAUUCCACGUGUAGCGGUGAAAUGCGUAGAGAUGUGGAGGAACACCAGUGGCGAAGGCGACUUUCUGGUCUGUAACUGACGCUGAGGCGCGAAAGCGUGGGAGCAAACAGGG